CCGCAGCCCCGACUGCCCUGUGUCCCCCAGGACGACAUGGAAGGCUCCGGAGCGCCCCUCUGGUCGACGCCCCGCAGCAGCCCGCAGGGACUGGCCUGCCCCCCCGGAGUCAAGGGGGAAGCUGGAGCCGCAGGGCCGCCGGGUGCCAAGGUGAGUGGGGCC